UUGACCUGGGGUCAGGACCUUGGGACUGAAAAGGCUCUCGUUCAUUUAUUCAUACACGAGAGUGAGAGCAUGGUGGAGGAAAACUCCUGAAGUCCAGCUGGUCUAACCUCUUCCCCAAGAUCAAGAUGUAAGAACUCUCAGCUCCUUCUCCAGCACCAUGUCUGCCUGCACGCUGCCAUGUCUUGCCAUGAUGAUAAUGGACUAGACCUCUGAACUCCUGUUUUCUUCUAGCUCCCAGCACCCCCUGCCCUGGGUUUGGAACCUCCCAUCACUGAACUGGAAUUUUCCAUAUCAAUCAUCAAUCAUUGAAAUGCCCCACAGGCUUGCCCACAGGUCAAUCUUAUGGGGGCAUUUCUAAACAGAGAUUCUCUCUUCCUAAAUGGCUCGAGGUUCCAUCAAAUUGGCAAAACACCAGCCAGCCCCAUAUCUAAUACAAACCACUUCAUUUGAUAUUUGUUAAGAAUUUUCUGAGAUCAAAGGGAGGCGGGAGCGGUCAGAUACCAGAAAAUGACAUGAAAAAGAAAGCUCUCCACAGUCAAAUAGGUCACAGUUAAGCUACAGGAGAAUGCCACACAAACAGAAGCUAGUAAACGCAGUGAGGAAAAAAAACAAGUCUCAACCAGAAAGGAGCAAAGCCGGGACUGAAUGCUGCUUCUCAGAAGCAAUGGCAGAGGCCACGGGAAAAGGAUGCAGAGCCAGCAUGCUGCAAGGGGAACUGUGUGCUGAGAAAAGCUAUCAUUCACUCCAAAGCUGAAACACUGACAUCCUCAGAUACAAAGGCACCUAAUAGGAUAAUUUCCAUCAGUCAACAUGUCAACAGGCAAUUCUAAGGAAUUUACCUCAGACGAAGGAAAACCAUGCUGAGAAGGAAUUGGAAAAUACAAAAGGCACCGGAGAGCAGAGGGAAUGGUAAAUAGACAA